rnacentral:rRNA from 1 species
GACGAACGCUGGCGGCGUGCUUAACACAUGCAAGUCGAACGGAAAGGCCCUGCUUUUGUGGGGUGCUCGAGUGGCGAACGGGUGAGUAACACGUGAGUAACCUGCCCUUGACUUUGGGAUAACUUCAGGAAACUGGGGCUAAUACCGGAUAGGAGCUCCUGCUGCAUGGUGGGGGUUGGAAAGGUUCGGCGGUUGGGGAUGGACUCGCGGCGUAUCAGCUUGUUGGUGGGGUAGUGGCUUACCAAGGCUUUGACGGGUAGCCGGCCUGAGAGGGUGACCGGCCCCAUUGGGACUGCGAUACGGCCCAGACUCCUACGGGAGGCAGCAGUGGGGAAUAUUGCACAAUGGGCCGAAGCCUGAUACAGCAACGCCGCGUGCGGGAUGACGGCCUUCGGGUUGUAAACCGCUUUCGCCUGUGACGAAGCGUGAGUGACGGUAAUGGGUAAAGAAGCACCGGCUAACUACGUG